UUGACCAUAUACAUAUGACGUGAUAUUGUUAAUUCAUCACUGGAGAAGAAAAUAUGAACAUCGUUGGUUUGCUGGGAUUUUUUCUACUUUUUGAGUCAUUACUUUGUAGUUCUGACAACAAAAUAUUCAAAGGCAUCGUGACUUUGAGUAACAAAUGAUCGUUUAAGAAGAAGUACAAACACGUUCUGGACUGGUUCCACAAGGAAGGACUUUACUAUAUACCACAGUUGAAUGUCACAGAAGCGAACAAAAUACCAGAACUAAUAUUGUACAAUAAAAAUGACGUGGAAAUAUUUAGAAUACCAUUGGACAAAACAACCUAUGAAAAAUUAGAUAACCUGAUUAAAGAUUUAGGAUUUUACCGUCAAAAAACGUUCAGUGACAAUCUUCCAGCAGAAUAUGAAAACGGACCAGUUCCCCCACCAGAUGGCGUGUCUAUCGAUGAUCUCCUCGCUGGAUUUUCCCUUUGUGAACGAUAUGGAAUACAAAGCGAAUUAGCUGCAGAAUAUUCUUGUGGAAAAUAAAUUUACUUUGUAUGAAAAUCGAAGAAAAUUAAUUGCAGCUUGAUACUUAAUGAUAUGUUUAUUGAAACAAUCAAUUUGAAUAUAAACAUGGAUAGCUCGUUUCAUGCUGUAAUUCAUAAAUAUCAAUAUUAAAAAGUUAUGUUACACAUACA